CAUGAAUGAACUGUUCUGCACAGCCUGCUGAGCUUGGUAGACGCUUUUUCUGAUGAGCAGAGAUUUUAACGAGUCCCGAGAUGAUUGUUUCCAGAAGACCACAUCUCAAGCAUUUGGAGCAAGUGAGCAUGUGGACCUGAGACUUCACUGCCCACUCGUGUCUCAGGCAGGAAGAGGAAACCUUGGAAUUGUUGCUGGUUUGC